UGCCUUUUAGUGUUGCCUGUUCAUCAUUGCUUGUCAGAUGAAUGUGGUGUCAAAUAGGGCAUACAUUAAUACAUGACAUGGCCACUGAAAGGUAUCUCCAUCCUUGCCUUUCAGAGGCUUCAUGUAAUGGACACUU
ensembl:snoRNA